rnacentral:rRNA from 1 species
GAACGCUGGCGGCAGGCUUAACACAUGCAAGUCGAGCGGUAACAGGGGGAGCUUGCUCCCUGCUGACGAGCGGCGGACGGGUGAGUAAUGCAUAGGAAUCUGCCCGGUAGUUGGGGAUAGCCCGGGGAAACCCGGAUUAAUACCGAAUACGCCCUACGGGGGAAAGCAGGGGAUCUUCGGACCUUGCGCUAUCGGAUGAGCCUAUGUCGGAUUAGCUGGUUGGUGGGGUAACGGCCUACCAAGGCGACGAUCCGUAGCUGGUCUGAGAGGAUGAUCAGCCACAUCGGGACUGAGACACGGCCCGAACUCCUACGGGAGGCAGCAGUGGGGAAUAUUGGACAAUGGGGGCAACCCUGAUCCAGCCAUGCCGCGUGUGUGAAGAAGGCUUUCGGGUUGUAAAGCACUUUCAGUGAGGAGGAAAACCUGAUGGUUAAUAUCCAUGAGGCUUGACGUUACUCACAGAAGAAGCACCGGCUAACUCCGUGCCAGCAGCCGCGGUAAUACGGAGGGUGCGAGCGUUAAUCGGAAUUACUGGGCGUAAAGCGCGCGUAGGUGGUUUGGUAAGCGAGAUGUGAAAGCCCGGGGCUUAACCUGGGAACGGCAUUUCGAACUGUCAGACUAGAGUGUGGU